UAUAGCUCUGUGUAGGUCGAUAUAGCUCUGUGUAGGUCGAUACAGCUCUGUGUAGGUCGAUACAGCUCUGUGUAGGUCGAUAUAGCUCUGUGUAGGUCGAUACAGCUCUGUGUAGGUCGAUACAGCUCUGUGUAGGUCGAUACAGCUCUGUGUAGGUCGAUACAGCUCUGUGUAGGUCGAUACAGCUCUGUGUAGGUCGAUACAGCUCUGUGUAGGUCGAUACAGCUCUGUGUAGGUCGAUAUAGCUCUGUGUAGGUCGAUACAGCUCUGUGUAGGUCGAUACAGCUCUGUGUAGGUCGAUGCAGCUCUGUGUAGGUCGAUGCAGCUCUGUGUAGGUCGAUAUAACUCUGUGUAGGUCGAUGCAGCUCUGUGUAGGUCGAUGCAGCUCUGUGUAGGUUGAUACAGCUCAUCUCAUCACCCUCAGCUCAUCUCCUCCUGGAGCCAGUCUCUCUGGGUCUGGAAUUAACAACUCGGCCCUGCAUAGAUUAUUACCUUUAUUUUCAUCCUUCUCCCCCCUCUCUCUCUCUU
rnacentral:lncRNA from 1 species